rnacentral:rRNA from 1 species
AACGUAGGAGACAAACGUUAUCCGGAGUUACUGGGCGUAAAGGGCGUGCAGGCGGUUGAUUAAGUCUAGCGUGAAAGCUCCCGGCUAAACCGGGAGAGGUCGUUGGAUACUGGUUGACUAGAGGACGGUAGAGGCAGGUGGAAUUCCCGGUGUAGCGGUGGAAUGCGUAGAGAUCGGGAAGAACAUCAGUGGCGAAGGCGGCCUGCUGGGCUGUUGCUGACGCUGAGGCGCGACAGCGUGGGGAGCAAACGGG